rnacentral:rRNA from 1 species
AGUGAACGCUGGCGGUAGGCCUAACACAUGCAAGUCGAACGGCAGCACAGUAAGAGCUUGCUCUUACGGGUGGCGAGUGGCGGACGGGUGAGGAAUACAUCGGAAUCUACUUUUUCGUGGGGGAUAACGUAGGGAAACUUACGCUAAUACCGCAUACGACCUACGGGUGAAAGCAGGGGAUCUUCGCACCUUGCGCGAUUGAAUGAGCCGAUGUCGGAUUAGCUAGUUGGCGGGGUAAAGGCCCACCAAGGCGACGAUCCGUAGCUGGUCUGAGAGGAUGAUCAGCCACACUGGAACUGAGACACGGUCCAGACUCCUACGGGAGGCAGCAGUGGGGAAUAUUGGACAAUGGGCGCAAGCCUGGUCCAGCCAUACCGCGUGGGUGAAGAAGGCCUUCGGGUUGUAAAGCCCUUUUGUUGGGAAAGAAAAGCAGCAGGUUAAUACCCCGCUGUUCUGACGGUACCCAAAGAAUAAGCACCGGCUAACUUCGUG